GGAAUUUCUAGUGUAGGAGUGAAAUCCGUAGAUAUUAGAAGGAACACCAAUGGCGUAGGCAGGUUACUGGACCAUUUCUGACGCUAAGGCACGAAAGCGUGGGGAGCGAACUGGAUUAGAUACCCAGGUAGUCCACGCCGUAAACGAUGGAUACUAGCUGUUGGAGGUAUCGACCCCUUCAGUAGCGAAGCUAACGCGUUAAGUAUCCCGCCUGUGGAGUACGGCCGCAAGGCUAAAACAUAAAGGAAUUGACGGGGACCCGCACAAGCGGUGGAUCAUGUUCUUUAAUUCGAUGAUAAACGAAGAACCUUACCAGGGUUUGACAUCCCGAGAAGAUUUACGAAAGUAAAUUGUGCCUUUUGGAACUCGGUGACAGAUGAUGCAUGGCCGUCGUCAGCUCGUGUCGU
rnacentral:rRNA from 1 species